GGGUGGGCGUUCCGGUUCAUUUUCGGGUCUGCUUGGGAUUUCGUGUUCGGUUCAGAUAUUUGAGGAUUCUGUUCGGAUUUAGAUAACCAAUUUAAAUUGGGUUGGUUUAAAUAUUUGGAUAGUGAGUUAAUAAUUAUUUAAGUGUUUUUGGAGUUUUGAGUAUAUUUUAAAUAUUUACGUUUGAUUAUUUGUAUAUAUUUUCAACUAUUUAAACGUAUUUAAACGAACUUAAAAGUAUCAUAUAUAUUCUGGAUGUUUUUAUAUAUAUUAAAUCUAAAAAUAAUUAAUAUAUAUAAUUAUAUAAAUCUAUUUUUGAUACCCAAAAUACUUCGUUUCGGAUCGGAUUAGGUUUCAGUUUUUCAAAUACCAAAAUUUUGAAUAAUUCGGAUAUUUAAUCAAUUUCGGUUCGGAUUCCGUACUACUUAUUUGGAUUGGGAUCGGUUCGAUUCUUCGAAUUCAAGUUUUUUUCCCAACCCUAAAUAGUGACAUAAAAAUAAAUAGCAUCAUAUUUUUUUAAAAAUACACCCGCGCGUACGCAUUAUUCCAUCAUAAUUAUUUUGUGUUAUUAUUAAAUAAUGUCCAUCCUAUAUUUGUAUAUAUGAUUAUUGGUGAUUUAUUUAUAGUUAAUACCUUCAAAGACUAUAAACAUAAUACAAUAUCCAUUGUAAAAAAAUUGCAUCUUUUACAGAGAUCAACCAUUAUUUUAUACCAACCUUAUUAACUAAACUGAUUUCAUUAACUAUGUUAUAUAUAUGAACACUUUGACAUUAUCAUUCACAAACUAAACGAUGUUUGUCACAACUUAAUAUUCCAAGUUGGCUGUAUUAUUCAAUACCAAACCAGUUCCUAUACGAAUCCAUAGAUAUGAUUAUGGUCUACUUAAAACCGGUUCAAUUUUUCCAUCUGCUAUAUUUUCAGAAAAUGGCUAUUUAUAUUCGGUUCUGUUAGAUAUUUAGUCUAACCAAUUAUAAAUCGGUUAGUGAUAACUUCUAAAAACUUUGAAAAUACUUUGUUAUUUAUUAACACUAUAUCGAUACUUUAAAAUAGGAAAACAGUAGAAUUGUGUUUUAGAACAAAAUCUACUUAUUUUAAAACAUAAUAUUAUUUUGAAAAUAGUUUUGAUACUAUGUAUUAUAUUAAACAUAGUUAUAUAUAUAUAUAUAUAUAUUUGAAAUAAAUAAUUAUAUACAUAAAUUAUACUUUUGGUUAACUAAAUUAUUUAUCAACCAAAUAAAAAUAUUCGGGUAAUUCAAGUUUUUGGGUUAUCCGGUUUAUAAAUGGUAUUUUUAGGAUAUUUGGUUAUUUAAAAAUUGAAUGUAAUUAAUAUUUUUAAAUAUAUAAUUUUUAUUUAAAAAUUCAGGUACUCAUUUGGUUCUCGGUUAGGUUUCAGUUUUCCAGUCAUAGAUAUAUAUGAUUUGCUCUAUUAUUUAUGCAAUUGAGUUCAAUUUUUGUUUUUUCAGUUUGGUACGGUUUGGUCUGUGGUUUUGGAUAAAUGUGCUCAAACUUAUACACUAUCUUAUAUAGAAAUUCGGUUAAAAUAUAUUUAAUUACAAAAACAAACUCGCGCUUUCCAAGUCGGGUCAAAAUCUAGUUGAAUAUUAUUUCUUCAUUUUAGUUAGUACCAAAUGCCAUGGUUUUAUCUUUUUCUUUUUUUUUUUUUGUAACAGCCAUGGUUUUUGUAACAACCAUGGUUUUAUCUAUUAUACUAAGAGUAAUAGUUUAUUAAUUGUGUCAAUUGUUAUAUCACUCCUCACUUUCAGAUAUAUAAUUGUUCUUUCCUUUUGGUUUGACUAUUAAUCUAUUCUAUUAGGAUUUACAAUACAAAAACAUAACUUACAUCCCAGCCCAAUAAAUUAUGAUUUAUUCAACCAGACAUUAAUUUAUUCAAAUUUUACAUAUUUUUUACAGACAUUAAGUUUAUCAAUUAACAAAUCACAUGAUAUUAAAAAUGGAUUUAACGGAUUUUAAGUGGUCUUUUAAUAGAAAUAAAUAUUAAUAUAAACUCAUUUAGUUUAACGGAUUUUAAAUAGGUUAUUCGAUUAAUUUUUUUUAUUAAAUGUAAACAUUAAAACAAAAAAUAUACCCGCCCUUUUAAAGGACGGGUCAGAAUCUAGUAGACGUGUUAAAACUAGAUAGAGCUUCAGCUAUUCCUGGUGGAUUUGAUGAAUCAAAAAUCUAUCUAAAAUAUUUUGUAGCAAUGGCUACUAAAUCUUCCUUAGAUUCCACCAGAUUCCCAAAUCGUCCUUUAGUCUAUUAAAAAACCAAUUAUUAUGUUAAUGUAUAUUAGACUAGUAAAUCUAAAUUUUCAAAAUUAAAUGUAUUUCUGUUUUAAUAAUACAGAUAGAUAUGUCUCAAAAUGUUUCAUGUGCCAAAUAAAUACCACUUCUAUGUUUAUUUUUGAGGAAAAUAUUUAACUAAAAUUUAUUUGUUGUAUUCUUGUAAUUCAAGUAUAUAUGGGUGAAUUAUUUUAUUCACCAAAAUAUUUAACAUAUUUUUGAAAAUAACUUUUUUUAUUUUUAAUAAAAACAUAUAUACUUUAUAUUUUGGAUGUCAAAUAAUUGUUUUUUAAUUUUGUUGUAAAAUUGAGUUAACGAAUAAUCUAUUUAGAGAAUAAUCUUAAGUCUCGUAUAUUUGGUUAGAUAAAAGUCUAAAAAUAAAUUAUUAUGGUUAAUUAAUUAAAUUUGGUAAGUGUGGAUAGAGAAGAAUCUAACAAAAUAAAUGAUUUGUUGUUAAUUAAUUAAUAGUUAUUAAUUAAGUGGCCCAAAUCUACUCAAUUAAAAGAGAAGUACACAUUAGAAUUAACAUUUACCUCAUGUGUUAUUUACACUAAUUGCCAUUGGAAUUUAUAUUUUCAUUAAGGAUAUUUUUGUCUUUGACAAAUGAAUCAAUCUAAUUAUUUAUCUGAAAUAAUAUAUUUUAACAAAAUUAUGUUUUUCCAAAAAUGAGACAGCAAAUUUUUUUUCUCAGAUUUGUUUUAUUUUCAAAGGGAGAUAUGGGAAGGUCAAAGUUAAUCAAAAAGAUAGUUUCACUAGGAUAUCCUUUUUACAUAUUUUCUGGUUUUUAUUAGAGGAAAGAAUGAUGUGAUGUUAAUUCAUUUUAUUUUUAAGCCUCUGCCAAUGAAAUGCAGUAGACCCUCUUUUAAAUUAAUAAUAUUGGAACUUUGAAAUUUUAUUAAUUUAUAAAGAUAUUGAUUUACAAAAGUUUACACAUUUAGAUUUCUUAUUUUAAGAUAUAUUUAUUCUAAGAUAAGAAAAAUAUUUGAUUUUAAUGUAUAGACAUUAAUUGUUAUUUUUUUGAAAUUUGACAUUUAUAUUAAUUUUAUUAUAUUAGUUGGUGUACGGCCAUAAAUGGACUUCUUGAGACGUAAAACAGCAUUCCUUGGCAAAGAGUCCAUCUUACUCUCAGCACGGUGGAUCACCUUACCCACAAACAAAAGGAAUAACAGAGAAGUUUCCCUUGAAUGUGCAUCAAAUCCUAAGACAAGCCUAUCUAAUCUCACCUCUUAGUCUAAAGCACUCAAAUCCCUUCUAAGGAGCCAGCCUUUUUUGAAUCCCUCUCUUUUCCCCCAUAGUCCAGCCACCGGAUUGGAAUUUACCAUUUGAGGUCAUGUGCGAUGCAAGUGACUACGCGGUUGGAGCCAAAGUCAAGUUUCUUGCUUGUUUCUUUAGAAAGAUUGCAGUCUUCGCGAAACAACUUAGGAGAAGAGCCCAACUACCAAUCCUAUGUUCUCCCAAUCCUGGAACUGGCGGAAAUCUAACGAAUUCGGGAAAGCAAGAUGAUCGACACUGGAAAAGACGUCUUGGCGAAAGGUGCUUGGGGCUGGUUACCGGAGGUAUUCCUGUCAGCCUUGUAACAUUAACCCAAAAACCAAUCGUCACUGGUUUCAUUCUUGUCGAUUUCAUAGAACUUAAAUGUGGUUUUAGAUAAAAUAUUACUAAAUCUCAUCAAAAAUAUAUUAAGUGUUAAGAAAAUAUAAAGAUAAUUCCAUUGUGAAUAUAAAACAAACAAUAUAAUAAUAGGUUAUUAUUACUUAUAUAAAAACAGAUACAUAUAAAUUAUUAAUUUAUAAUUUUAAUGGGUCCAUAUAUUUACAUAAAAAUUUCUAAAAAUCUAUUGUCUUAUUAUUUUAUCGAUCUGUGUCAAAUUUUGAACCGGCCCAAGUUGGCACCGACAAAAUUUAUUAAUUUAUAGAUAUUAUUAAUUUUUAGAAUAUUAAUUUAUGGAGGUUCUACUGUAGGUAAAACCCGUUAUCUUAAUAUGUUUCUAAUUUAUUUACAACACUUAACAUAUAUACUAUAAAUAUGAUAUAUAUAUAUAUAUGAUAGUUUUUUUAAGAACAAGUGCUUCCACUAUAUAAGGUGUUAUAAUAUCAAUAUAUAACCAUAUUAAAUGUUUUUUCUUUAAAUAAUAAAAUUAACUUUUGUCUUAUAUACAUAUCGUCUACACAACUAUAUUUAAACUAUAAGAAUACAAAAAAUGAAGUAAAUAAUUUUUCAUAAAACUACUAGACAUAUUCAUUUAAAUAAAUAUAAAUUAUUUUUGCCAAAAAAUAUUUGGUUUCAGUAAAAUAAAUAUAUUAACAUACAUACUAACUGGUUAGACUAACUCAUAUAAAAUACAAUAUAUAAAUGAUCCAUGCGACGGUAGGUAUCAAAUAAAAAAUAACUUAUCUACCAUAGAAAAUUGAUUUAUUUAUCAAGAUGCAAUACAAUAUGAGAAUAUCACAAAUAUACAAAUAGUUAAAAACUAUUAAAUAAUUAUUAAAAUAUUUCGCAUUACAAAUUGGAAAAACAACUAUAGUAACAUGCACGGGAUGAGUUGGUCAAAUCCUAGUUAUAAUUAUUAGGAUGAAAGAAGGGUUUACUAACCGGGCCUCGUGGUCUGGUGGUAAAAGGAACUUCGGUUGAGGUGCUCGCCAUCACGACUUCGAGCCCCCGCCACAGCGGAUUUAACAUUCCUUCCGCUGGGGCGCUGGACUCCCUACGGAUGGAUAGUUGGGACUGUGGCUGCCCAGAUACCAGAGUUAUCAAAAAAAAAAAAAAAAAAAAAAAGGGUUUACUUAUUAAAAUUAACAUCAGUUUUAAUAGUAGAAGAAACAAGACAUAAUCUGAGUCUCAUUUUCUCAAAUUAAAAACGGAGAAGUCUUCUAAGGCAAGCGGAAAGAUGUCAAAUAUUCGGGGCAACAAGGAAAUAAAUUCUAAGUUACGUUUAUUAGAGGCAAAAAAUCCAACAAUAAAGAAAUAAUUCAGAGUUUUCUCACAGACACAACGGCUUAGAGCCUCACUAGUUCAAACGCGGCGGUUGCGGCUGUACGAAUUUGCAGAAGCGGAUAGCUGCGAUUUCAAGCAUUAUUUAGUGUUUUGUUUGACUGGCACAACAUUUAAAAAUUAUUUCGUUUGCAGAUCAUUUUGACUGGUUUACCAACAAAUGCAUAAAUCAAUUAAUAAAAAAUUAUUUAAUAGUCACACUACAAAAAAAAUGUGCUUUGAUAGCAGUGAAGGAUAACGUUUUUUGCCUUUCUACUAUGGUUGACAUACCCGUUAGUUUUAGAUAGGGUUUUUAUAUUUAGAAACACUAUGAUAGAGCUGUAUAUUUAAAAACGCUAUGAUAGCGUAUUUUUAAUAGCGCAUUAUUAAAAACGCUAUCUUUGACUUUUUAAAUCUCUAAACCCUAAACAAGUUUUAAACCCUAAACUUUAAACAUAACUUCAAAAUCUAACUAUUUUAAUAUCAAAUCUUAAAUUUAACCUCAAAUAUUAAAUAUAAACUCAAAAACUAUUUCUUUUUCAAUAAUUAAUCUUAAAUCCCAAUACCCUAAACCUUUAACCCCCAAACCCUAUACUCAAACCUUUAUUCUAAACUCAUAACUUUAAAUCUAAAAUCUAAAUUCAAAAAAAAAAAUCAAACUUAAACUUUAUUCUUCAAAUAAAUUCAAAUUUAUUUUUGAAUUUUAACUUAAAAUCUUAACCUUGAACUCUAAACCUUAUAUACUCAAAUCUUAUAUAUCAUAAUAAACCUCAAACCUUCAAUUUAUACAUUUAGUUAUUAAACUAAAUCAUAAAUCACAAAUCUAAUAUUCUCAAACUUAAACACCAAACUUUGAGCAUACAUUUUUAAAAUUUUAAUAUGUUUAAAUUUAAACCUUUAAACUAAUUUUAUUUACUAUACUCUUGUAUUUUAAACCUUUAAACUAAUUUCAUUUUACAUUUAAAGUAAAUCAUAACUUAUAAACAAUUUUAAAAUUUUCAGUCUAUUAUUUGAAACAUUGAACCAAACUAUAAUUACAUUAAUUAUAUUUUUUUGGUCGAAAUUAUAUAAAUAUUUAACUUAAUUAUUAUAUGUUUGGUUUAUCUUUUUCCUUUUUUCUCAUUGGUCAAUAUCUUAAACACAAGGAUAGCAAUCUUGACCACUGAGUAUUUUUGAUCCUAUGGCUAGAAAUCACACAUCUCAUAUCUCAAUCUCUUUCUUCCUUCCUUUUUCUUCCUUCCUUUCUUCCUUCCUUGUCUCACGUUAUCUCUCUCUUUUUUUUUGUUACAGAUCUAAAUCUGAUAUGAUCUAAAUCUUUUUUAAUUCUUUGGAUCUCUAUCUUCCUCAAUCACCACCACCACACGACGAACCGUUUGUUUUCGCCGUCCCAGCAUCACAACCACCACCACACGACCGUUCGUUCGCCGUCCCAGCAUCACCACCACCACACAACCACAGGAUGGAGGAAGCAAGGCAAGGCAGGUAUGGCGGCUGGAGGAGGAAGAUGACGGCUUCAGAUUCAGGAAGAGGAAGCUGACGGCGAGUUGGUGAGGAGGCGACGAGAUUAGGUCUAGAUGGAUGUGACGUUUGCCUCCUCUCUGCAACUUGCCUCUCAAAUCCCAGGAUGAAGAAGAAUCAUGGCUGGAUACUAAUGAAGGUCAUGGAAAAACACGAAGACGAAGGUGGUGGUGCGGCCGGUAGAUGAAGAAGACAACGAAGUGGUGGUGUGUUUAGUUAGUAAUUAGGUUAAAGCCUGGUUUAGUUUUUGGUUUAUUUAGUUUGUUGGUUUAUUAUUUAAUCUGAUUUUUUUUUUGUAUUUUUGUAAACCAAUUUAACUAUAGAUAAAUUUAAGUAAUAAAGAAAAUUUGAUUCUA